UACAGAGGUCCCGAGCGUUGUUCGGAUUCACUGGGCGUAAAGGGUGCGUAGGUGGUCAGGUAAGUUUGAUGUGAAAGCUCUGGGCUUAACCCAGAAAUGGCAUUGAAUACUAUCUGGCUAGAGAGUCGGAGGGGGGACUGGAAUACUUGGUGUAGCAGUGAAAUGCGUAGAUAUCAAGUGGAACACCAGUGGCGAAGGCGAGACCCUGGACGAUUUCUGACACUGAGGCACGAAAGCUAGGGGAGCAAACAGG
rnacentral:rRNA from 1 species